GCAUCACUUCACAUAGCCAGCCCUUCCAUCUGUUGAAGACAGGUUUAUGAGCUCAUUGCUUCUUGCUGUGGUUUUGGAGCAGCUGCAGCCCAAAGCAUUGUGGGAACGGCUUUCACAUCUGAGCCCAUUAGUCACCAGAUGUCAUCUGCUGCUGCCAGGGCUUCAAACAGCCGAGCAGACAAUGUCCCAUGCAUGCUGAACAUCUGAAUGCCGACUCCUUCAAUAAUGUGGACAGCUCAAUGGGUUCGAAUGACAUCCCAGAAGCACCUGACCUCAAAGCCAUGUUUAUACUGACACCUACAGCUCUGAGAGGAAACACAGGCAGCAGCGGAGGAUUUUCAAGAGCAGCAUUGUGAGCUGUUGCUUUCACGUUUAUUUAAAGAAGAAAGAGGGUGGGGGAGAGAAACCCGGAAAGAUUAAUUGAGUGGAUUUGCUAGAGGAAAUAGACUUUUGAUUGAC